CAGCGGCCAUAACACGCUGAAAGCACCAAUUCUCAUCCGAUAAUCGAAGUUAAGCAUCGUAGGAUGCGGUCGGUACUGGGAGGGGACUACCUGAA